rnacentral:rRNA from 1 species
AUUGAACGCUGGCGGCAUGCCUUACACAUGCAAGUCGAACGGUAACGGGCCUUCGGGUGCCGACGAGUGGCGAACGGGCGAGUAAUACAUCGGAACGUGCCCGAACGUGGGGGAUAACGAGGCAAAAGCUUUGCUAAUACCCCAUACGUACUACGGCUGAAAGGAGGGGACAGCAAGGCCUUGCGCGGACGGGGCGGGCGAGGGCCGCUUAGGCAGUUGGUGGGAUAAAAGCUUACCAAGCCGACGAUUGGUAGCGGGUCUGAAAGGAGGAUCAGCCACACUAGGACUGAGACACGGCCCAGACUACUACGGGAGGCAGCAGAGGGGAAUGUUGGACAAGGGGCGGAAGCCUAAUCCAGCCAUGCCGCGUGCAGGAUGAAGGCCUGCGGGUUGUAAAUUUCUUCUGUACGGAACGAAAAGCCUUCUUUUAAUACAGGAGGGUCAUGACGGUACCGUAAGAAUAAGCACCGGCUAACUACGUG